AUAAAUAAUCCAUUCAAGUCCUUUUCCAGGUGCCUGACGGGUCCAGUACAUGUUAGUGCCACUAACAGAAAACCCACUGCAGGCACAGGGAAUUUACUUACAAGACACAGCGGCCAGCAACAGCAAGAGACGUGAAGUGAACAUGGUUUAUAUGAAGGCUGAACUGGUGAUACAUCUGUUUCUUGCUGUUGUCUCUGGAGAUGGUGAAGCGACCCUGAACAGACUGAGAGUAGUAUAUACCACCACCACCACCAAAGAUGUAUGCCACCCACUCCAGACCUCCUCCUGCAGUCUGUCUGAUCCAAGCUAAGUGUGGGUCACUACUAAAUCCAGAGACUGUACAGAGCGGCCUACGAACUCGAUUGCGAGUCUUAAAGCUGACUUCUGCUGAUGAAACUGCAAACUAUCUUCCUCAGUAAGUGUUCUUCAUUUUUAUCGAAUCUUUGACUUCUGGUCUUCAUUCAACACACCUGGUCCGAGGGUCUUUACUGUAAAUUCCCCUACAGUACAAAAGUUAUUAUAAAAAAAGAAUGCAGUCCAUUAUUAAUAUAAGAGAAUGUAGGCUAUAAACCGAACAGAUUCACUUCAUACUGAGAAAUACUGUGGAAAAUAGAUCAGUCAGUAUAGAUUUACAAGUACGAUACAUUUGCAAGUAUUUUAAAUUUGUUAAUUUUGUAAUUUUAAUAGCAACAUUUUUUACUUUAAACAGGACUUUAGACCUUAUAUCACUUCUCCUUGCUCAGCUUGCGUAACUGGG